rnacentral:rRNA from 1 species
CCUACGGGAGGCAGCAGUGAGGAAUAUUGGUCAAUGGGCGCGAGCCUGAACCAGCCAAGUCGCGUGAGGGAUGACGGCCCUACGGGUUGUAAACCUCUUUUGCCGGGGAGCAACGGGCGCCACGUGUGGCGCCACUGAGAGUACCCGGAGAAAAAGCAUCGGCUAACUCCGUGCCAGCAGCCGCGGUAAUACGUAUGGUGCAAGCGUUAUCCGGAUUUACUGGGUGUAAAGGGAGCGCAGGCGGCGCGUUAAGCCUGGUGUGAAAGCCCGCGGCCCAACCGCGGGACUGCAUUGGGAACUGGCGCGCUGGAGUGCCGGAGGGGUAGGCGGAAUUCCUAGUGUAGCGGUGAAAUGCGUAGAUAUCAGGAGGAACACCGGUGGCGAAGGCGGCCUGCUGGACUGCGACUGACGUUGAGGCCCGAAAGCGUGGGGAGCAAACAGGAUUAGAUACCCUUGUAGUC